GCCUAGUUAGCUUAGUUGGUAGUGCGUCUGCCUUGUAAGCGCUAGGCCGCGGGUUCGAAUUCCGCCCGGGGCG
rfam:Asian citrus Psyllid, Diaphorina citri - Florida Strain, whole genome shotgun sequence.